GUGAAUCAUCAAAUUUUUGAACGCAAAUUGCACUCUCUUCGGUGCGUAUGCGUAUGUCUGUGUCAGCCUCAAUAAAAUCGACAACGUUGCUUUUUUGCGGUGGCUGUCGUCGGCAGUUGGGUUAUCUUUCAUCUUUGGUUUAAGCGACUUAACUUUAUCUUUCCGAUUCCAUGAACGUUUCCAAGAUUUAUUUCUUUUCACGUUUAAGGUAUCGAUUUUAUUAGGCGUGGUCUU
rnacentral:misc_RNA from 1 species